rnacentral:misc_RNA from 1 species
CCGUCUUUGUGCGGCCGACUACCGGCGCCGUGUCCCGUCAUUCGUGUGGCUUAUGUCGCUGUUGCCUUUGAAGUGCUUGCGUGCWGGUACCCGACCUACGGGAAGUGGUGCUUUCUAAACGGUUGCCUCGCGGUGCAUGCCUUCCGGUGUGCCACUGCGGCCAAAUGGUGCUUGCGGCGUUUGCCUCGUGGUGCUGUUGCUCUUUACGUGCACGGUGCUAUCAACGCAGCCUCGCUCGCGCUCUUGGUUUUGGAUGUUGCUCACGAUAAAGGCUAAUGGCCCUUUUGGUUGCCUUUACCCGACCCUUCAGAAGCUCUCCGAAUUUUGAGAACAACCGUGAACAGGUGCUGCCUCUACCUCUCCACAGUUAGUGGUAGGAUUACGCAACAUUCUGCGCCGAUCCUCAAAGUAGUAGGAUGAGCUUUGGCCCGCUCAAUUGUGACAACCGACCCGGGCGUUGUUUCGCCCCGCGACGCAAGUUGCGGGGUGGACGACAACCGACGCCGGACGUCAACGAGGACGUGCUACCUGGUUGAUCCUGCCAGUAGUCAUA